rnacentral:rRNA from 2 species
GGAGGAAAAGAACUAACAAGGAUUCCCCUAGUAACUGCGAGUGAAGCGGGAAAAGCUCAAAUUUGAAAUCUGGCGGUCCUUGGCCGUCCGAGUUGUAAUCUAGAGAAGUGUUACCCGCGCUGGACCAUGUACAAGUCUCCUGGAAUGGAGCGUCAUAGAGGGUGAGAAUCCCGUCUCUGACAUGGACUACCAGGGCUUUGUGGUAUGCUCUCAAAGAGUCGAGUUGUUUGGGAAUGCAGCUCAAAAUGGGUGGUAAAUUCCAUCUAAAGCUAAAUAUUGGCGAGAGACCGAUAGCGAACAAGUACCGUGAGGGAAAGAUGAAAAGAACUUUGGAAAGAGAGUUAAACAGUACGUGAAAUUGCUGAAAGGGAAACGCUUGAAGUCAGUCGCGUUGGCCAGGGAUCAGCCUCGCACUUGCGUGGUGUACUUUCUGGUUGAUGGGUCAGCAUCAAUUUUGACCGCUGGAAAAAGGCUUGGGGAAUGUGACAGCUCCAGCUGUGUUAUAGCCCCUUGUCAUAUACAACGGUUGGGAUUGAGGAACUCAGCACGCCGCAAGGCCGGGUUUCGACCACGUUCGUGCUUAGGAUGCUGGCAUAAUGGCUUUA